CGAUUAGAGUUUGAUCAUGGCUCAGGACGAACGCUGGCGGCGUGCUUAACACAUGCAAGUCGAACGAGGUCCAUCGGUAGCUUGCUACUGAGAAGACCUAGUGGCGAACGGGUGAGUAACGCGUGGGCAACCUGCCCUGGAGAUUGGGAUAACUGAUGGAAACAUCAGCUAAUACCGAAUAUCGUUUUAGUACCGCAUGGUAUCUAAACGAAAUGUUCUGGCGCUCCAGGAUGGGCCCGCGUCCCAUUAGCUUGUUGGUAGGGUAACGGCCUACCAAGGCGACGAUGGGUAGCCGGCCUGAGAGGGUGAACGGCCACACUGGGACUGAGACACGGCCCAGACUCCUACGGGAGGCAGCAGUGGGGAAUAUUGCGCAAUGGGCGAAAGCCUGACGCAGCAACGCCGCGUGGAGGAUGAAGGUUUUCGGAUUGUAAACUCCUUUCAGCAGGGACGAAGCCGCAAGGUGACGGUACCUGCAGAAGAAGCCCCGGCUAACUACGUGCCAGCAGCCGCGGUAAUACGUAGGGGGCAAGCGUUGUCCGGAAUUAUUGGGCGUAAAGAGCACGCAGGCGGCCCGUUAAGUCAGAUGUGAAAUCCCUCGGCUCAACCGAGGACCUGCAUUUGAAACUGACAGGCUAGAGUACAGGAGAGGGAAGUGGAAUUCCUAGUGUAGCGGUGAAAUGCGCAGAUAUUAGGAAGAACACCGGUGGCGAAGGCGGCUUCCUGGACUGUUACUGACGCUGAGGUGCGAAAGCUAGGGGAGCGAACAGGAUUAGAUACCCUGGUAGUCCUAGCCGUAAACGAUGGUCACUAGGUGUAGGGGGUAUCAACUCCCCCUGUGCCGGAGCUAACGCAUUAAGUGACCCGCCUGGGGAGUACGGCCGCAAGGCUAAAACUCAAAGGAAUUGACGGG
rnacentral:rRNA from 1 species